CUUGCUUCUCUUGAGAGCGGCGGACGGGUGAGUAAUGCCUAGGAAUCUGCCUGGUAGUGGGGGAUAACGUCCGGAAACGGACGCUAAUACCGCAUACGUCCUACGGGAGAAAGCAGGGGACCUUCGGGCCUUGCGCUAUCAGAUGAGCCUGGGUCGGAUUAGCUAGUUGGUGGGGUAAUGGCUCACCAAGGCGACGAUCCGUAACUGGUCUGAGAGGAUGAUCAGUCACACUGGAACUGAGACACGGUCCAGACUCCUACGGGAGGCAGCAGUGGGGAAUAUUGGACAAUGGGCGAAAGCCUGAUCCAGCCAUGCCGCGUGUGUGAAGAAGGUCUUCGGAUUGUAAAGCACUUUAAGUUGGGAGGAAGGGCAGUAAAUUAAUACUUUGCUGUUUUGACGUUACCGACAGAAUAAGCACCGGCUAACUCUGUGCCAGCAGCCGCGGUAAUACAGAGGGUGCAAGCGUUAAUCGGAAUUACUGGGCGUAAAGCGCGCGUAGGUGGUUCGUUAAGUUGGAUGUGAAAUCCCCGGGCUCAACCUGGGAACUGCAUUCAAAACUGACGAGCUAGAGUAUGGUAGAGGGUGGUGGAAUUUCCUGUGUAGCGGUGAAAUGCGUAGAUAUAGGAAGGAACACCAGUGGCGAA
rnacentral:rRNA from 1 species